GUCUAUUUGUGUUACAUUAUUAAAAACGUGUGUAACGUUAGCAUCAAUAUUUCUUUGUUUUCUAGCAAUGUGCGGUUUUAUACUAUCCAUAUCCGUUUAUGAAAAAUCCAUAGAGAUUAUUUGGUACAAAAAUCAACCAAAAAAAGUCAUGUUCUACUGACUUUGAAACUUUUGCUUAUUUUGCAUGUAUUAGUUUGUGAUAAGGUCAGUUUAUGGGGAACCACUAGUGGUGGGUCAAUGAUAUUUGGUAUGCAGUUGCAUACGACAGGGGCGGAGCCAGUAAUUUAUAAAAGGGGGUUUCAACUAUAUGACCCCAUUGAUCGUCAGAAAAAAGGGGGUUCCAACCCCCGGAACCUCCCUGGAUCCGCCACUGUAC
rnacentral:lncRNA from 1 species